UAUUCGGCCCCUACUGGCUCCUGUUGGAUCCUAUUGGGUCCCAACAUGAUCAACACGACGUCUAUAGGGUCCUCCCAUCUUCUAUUGGGUCUCUACUGGCUUCUAUUGGGCUCCUAUUGGGGUCCUUCCAUCCCCUGUUGGGGUCCUCCUAAACGUAUUGGAUUCUAUUGGGACCCUAUUGACUUCUAUUGGGGUCCUCCCAUCCCUAUUGGGG
rnacentral:lncRNA from 1 species